GUUAGGAAUAUUGGACAAUGGGCGCGAGCCUGAUCCAGCCAUGCCGCGUGAGUGAUGAAGGCCUUCGGGUUGUAAAGCUCUUUAGCCGAUGAUUAUAAUGACUGUAGUCGGAAAAUAAGCCCCGGCUAACUUCGUGCCAGCAGCCGCGGUAAUACGAAGGGGGCGAGCGUUAUUCGGAAUCACUGGGCGUAAAGCGUGCGUAGGCGGCUUUGCAAGUUGGGAGUGAAAGCCCAGGGCUCAACCUUGGAAUUGCUCUUAAAACUGCAAGGCUCGAAUCUCGGAGAGGAUAGCGGAAUUUCCAGUGUAGCAGUGAAAUGCGUAGAUAUUGGAAGGAACACCAGUGGCGUAAGCGGCUAUCUGGACGAGUAUUGACGCUGAGGCACGAAAGCGUGGGGAUCAAACAGGAUUAGAUACCCGUGUAGUCC
rnacentral:rRNA from 1 species